AAGCUAAUUAGGAAGUUCUCCCUCGCAUGGCCUUCUUUUGUCUAAAGAUGAUCAGAGUUAUCGGCGUCUAAGAUAAGGUCGAUCACGGCUCCCGUGAAUUCCACUUAGAAGCCUGAGGGAUUUCCACUACGUCCUACGUAUCCCGUGCGUGAAACUAAGGUUGAGCUUAAAAGUGCCAAACCUGGCGUCAAGGUGUAACGUACGUAGUGUGAAACAGUAGCGAAAGAAUUUAGAAUCCAAGAACUUUUCUGACAAGCACGAUUUUCAAGUACGAGGCGACUAGGUUGAAUCUAAAGCACAAAUCCGUCAUUAUGGUACGCAACACGUCUCUACUAUCGCUACUUCUUGUUCUCAUACUGGCUUUGAGCCUCGUUACUCACUGCUCAGCGGCUGCCUCUGCUGCGCAAUGCAACAGUUGGGGAAGCCGAAGGAUUAACAGAAUUUGCAAGAGAAUGCACGCCAAGAGUUUUGAGCUGCCGAAAGAACUGGUUCGAUUGCGCCAAGAACAAAGAGAGAACCCAGAGGACGGGAUAUCUCUAGACACCCUUGUGUUUCUGCAGGAGUUGUUCAAUGAGGAAAACACGCAGGAUUGAUCUCAAAUCCGCAAGCCUCAUUACUUAAGACUUGACGGUACUCCAACAAGAGACAUUUUCAAAAAUAUUUUGAUCAUUCAUACUUGGAACUGUUUAUGAUAAGCAAUGCCAUAUCCCCACGCAGUAGGGACUUAUUGUAAAUAGAAUUUAUCUUAUGGCAUGAGCAUUCUCCUAUAGCCUAUGCACAGUCAACUACAAACCAAAAUCAGAUAAGUAUUAUGUUGUUUAGUUAGAUAUGACUUGUUUGUAAUAGCAAAUCAAAAAAAUGUGUAAACAGUCGAUUAAAAGUAUAAAAUGUCGUACAUAAA